CGCAUAUUGCGCCCUUUGGUAUUCCGAAGGGCAUGCCUGUUCGAGCGUCAUUAUCACCCCUCAAGCCCCGGCUUGGUGUUGGUCUUCGUUGUGGCCUUGCCUGCAACGGGCCCCAAAAACAGUGACGCCGUCCCAGAGGGAACCGGUACGAGGAGCUUCCAGUUAAGCAUGUACGCGGGAGGACUCUGCGCGGCGGCCUUUAUUUAUUUUUCAAGUGUUGACCUCGGAUCAGGUAGGGAUACCCGCUGAACUUAA
rnacentral:misc_RNA from 1 species